rnacentral:rRNA from 1 species
CCUACGUGAGGCAGCAGUGGGGAAUAUUGGACAAUGGGGGGAACCCUGAUCCAGCGACGCCGCGUGAGUGAAGAAGUAUUUCGGUCUGUAAAGCUCUAUCAGCAGGGAAGUAAGAAAUGACGGUACCUGACUAAGAUGUCUCGGCUAACUACGUGCCAGCAGCCGCGGCAAUACGUAGGGGGCAAGCGUUAUCCGGAUUUACGGGGUGUAAAGGGUGCGUAGACGGCGAUGCAAGUCUGAAGUGAAAGGCGGGGGCACAACCCCCGGACUGCUUUGGAAACUGUAUGGCUGGAGUGCAGGAGAGGUAAGUGGAAUUCCUAGUGUAGCGGUGAAAUGCGUAGAUAUGAGGAGGAACACCAGUGGCGAAGGCGGCUUGCUGGACAGUAACUGACGUUGAGGCUCGAAAGCGUGGGGAGCAAACAGGAUUAGAUACCCUAGUAGUC